GUGAGUCAUCGAAUCUUUGAACGCAAAUUGCGCUUUAGGGUAAUUCUCUAAAGCAUACCUGGUUGAGCAUCAUUUCCUAAACUCUUACAAAUUCAUUUUUGUAAGGAUAAUGAAGGUCUUGCAAUAAAGUCCUUUGAAAUUCAGGCAAACUGGAGAUGAAAAAUGUAUUUUUUUCAGUUUCAAGAUUUAAGCGUCUUAAAACUAAAAAGUCAAAUCUGCGUGAUGGAAAUUUUAGUUUCAAUGUAUGCUCUUGAAAUGAUGACUAAAGUCGCUUUCUUCCCUUUUGCAAAACCAAUAAGG
rnacentral:misc_RNA from 1 species